GGGGCCGCGCGGCGGGAGCCGGGCCGGGCAGGGCGCGGGGUAGCGGCUCGGCGGAGCCGGCGGCCGCGGGGAGUCGCGCUGAGGCGUCGCGUCCAGCCUCCGGUUUGGAGCGCUGCGUGGGCAGGCACCUGGAGAGGCGGAGGAUAUUAUCAGCAUUUUGAUGGUACCUCUGACAGGCAUGAGCCCUGUGAGCCUGUUCUGAGUUGUGGAAGUGAAAUGAGAUGCAGACAGGAAGCUGAGGAGCUAGAGAUCUUUGGAGAAGUUAAUUUAUGAAUGAAAUUGGAGGAAGUAUUGAUUUCUUGACUGAAAUUCUGGACUGAGAAUGAAGAAGGACAUGAUUACUGUGAGAUCUCCUGAAAUUACGUCAUUGAAGACUGCAGGACACAGUGCACCCACUAGUUACUAGACAUGGUCUAAUGCAGCUCUGACUUUUUGAUGUUGACUUGAGAGUUACCAAGGCAGCAGAGGAUGUCUUUUUCAACUGGAAUGGGAAUGUCAGAAGAUUCUAGCUUUGGUUGACUCGACUUGGCAAAACAAUGGUAAGUUGCGGGCUGAAUCUGACCUCAAUGCAUUGCUGGAAGUGUGUAGGGAGAGUUCAGUUAAGUUAUAGUAAUUGUGUACUUACAAGUCAUUGUAUGAGAUUAAAGUAAUAAAUUGGAUUCAGCUGUAGCUUACAGCUAGAGUAAGUACAUUAAGAAUGUCUGUACAGUAACACAGGAGAAAUCAGUCUGAUGCAGUUUUAAUGACUGGACCUGGUUUUGAUAAUUCAGUUAAGAAUUACAUGCCAAUUCAUUUCACUGUCAAAUGGUUUCACUAUCUGCAUUUAAAAAUCUCAGGACAGAAUUUCAGUUUGUUGUGCAUAUACAUGGCUCUGUUGCACUAAAUGGAGCAACAGUGACAGGUGAGGACCUGCCAUUUCAUCUUGAAAAGCAACAAAGAAAAACAGCUUCGUGUUUCAAGGCAGAGUUGAAUCUGAUCCACUGCUGAACAUUUUUUUUGUUUUGUCUUUCUUUUUGCAUUCUGCUUACACACUGUAUGGAAUAAUCACAUCCUCAGUCAUUUGUCUGUCAUCUUCUUAUCACUGUGACUUCAUGGAUGAUCCAUGACUUCGUUGUUGUGAAAAGCACUUCAAGGGGAGAUCUCUGCAGUUGUUUCAGGGCUUCAUGUUUUCCCAAGCAUCACAUCACAUUCUUUCCCCUCAAGUGUCUUGUAGUUGUUCUCACAUUGGCUUAGUUAUCAAUGGCCAAAGAACUCUUGCACUGUGGAUCUCAUUUGUGUCACAGGAACGGAAGAUGUGAAAUGUUAGUGGCUAGAUGGGAGCUGAAGCAACAGAUUUAGGAGAAGGAAAUUGAGAGAACUGAGAUCCCAAGUCUGAAUUCAUCUAGACAAUACUUAGGUUCAAAUUGCCAUUUAGUUUUCCUAUAUACAGUUAAAACAAAAGGAUGCAGAAAGGCAGUUCCAGGGCUGUCCUGCAGUGUCCUCAGCACUUCAGACUGGGAAGGAAACCUGUCAAGAUGGAGCAUUGCUGGAGUCUGCUGGCUGGAGAUAUGGGACGUGAUGGAAUGAAGAGGAUAAGCACUUCGGGUUUGUGUGGGACUUAUUAUGGGAUGUUUAGGGGAGAAACAGGAGGUAAGGAAAGGAAUGGAUCUAAGCGUUUUGUUUGAGGAGGAACAAGUGUGUGAAAGUUGGGAGAGGAGGGGAUAAAAGGGGCUGGUUGUCCGUGUGCCAGGAACCAGUGAUAGCUGGGGGCCAGCAGUGCCUGAGCCUAGCUGCUGAGGGAAUUCCCAUUGUACAUGUGUGUAUAUCUGUGUUCUCCGCUAGCAGAUCUCUGUCCUACUAAGCUACAGAGAAGAACAGGGUGAAGUUCUUGGCAUAAUUUUUGUUUGUGCAAGUGCUCUGUGUGUCUGCUGGUGAUUGAUGUGGUCACAUAUAUGCACCAUAUGUGCUACGUGGAGUAUGUACCAUAUGUGUUUGCAUGUGUGUGCCUGCUGGGAAUGCAUGCUGCACCCAGCUGCUGGUUGAACCUGGAGGCACAGAGCUGUAGCAGCCUCACCUCUACUGGGCUUCCAGAUUCUGCCUAUCCUAACAAAUUAUGGUUGUUUUCUCUCAGCCAGGGACUAGCAGGAAAUUCACGGUCUCAUCUAAGUUCUUGUGAAGUACCCACCUCACCCUGUAUGUAAGUUAUUGAGGGCUGUAACAGCAGAGGAACACUUACAGAGAUAGAAAGAAAAGAUUGAUCUUUAGUGGCACGUCUGCCAUUGAGAAAAUAAAGAGGUCAUAACCUACCAGAAAAACAGAGGUGGAAUGCCCUAUGGAGACUGGUUUUCUGAGGGAAUUUCCAUCUGGCUGCUCUGUCAAACUGGUUGUGUUAGAUGUCUGUGACUCUGCUGUUCUCAUCUGCUUGCAAUCAGUUUUAAUAAACAGUCUAACAUGAUUGUUCAUCCAUCUUGGCAACUAGUAGAAUACCUCUCUCAAAAACAUCUCUGCAAAGAUAGUUCCUAAUGCUUUCUCACUUGCAGUACUUGGCACCAGUCUUCCUGAAUUUAUAUGUUUGUGUGGUAGAAUGUUGCUGUAGCAGAUGAUAAACCAAGGUGCCUGACAAGUCCAAGAGAUAAAACUCACCUGGUGUUCCCAUUUCUUUAUUUCUGGGAAGACUGCAAACAUCACUGUGUAUCUUGUCUGAGAUGUGAAAAAACAGGCCCUCGGGCCUGAAUCACUGAAUCCAGUAGGUGUGAUAGGAAAAGCUCUACCUAGCCAACAUGUUUACCCCAUGUGCCUGUGCGUGUGUUUUUAGAGAUCUUUGUCAGUUAAAUUGCUUUGGGAAGUAAACCUGUAACGGGUACAGAUGAUGUGGAGCUUAAGGUGAUGUUUUACCAAACACACAGCCAACCUGAUCUAAUAAUUGUCUUGUACCUAGAGGUGUAAUCCUGUCUCUCUCCUGUUUGGCCUUAGGACUUUUUUUAGCCCCAAAACUAAUCUGUCUGAGAAGCCAAACCCUUUCCCUCUCACCAUGGAGAAAAAAAAAAAUCUUGUUUUUGCCAAUUGGAGAGGGUUACUAGAAUAGAACUGGUGCAGGCACAUAGGGAGGACUAGAAAAACAUGGCCAUUAGCAGCGGAACAUGACCUGAUUUCAUCAGCUGGCACCCUUCAGGAUAUCAGAGAUGGUAUGUUUGGGUUGGAAGAUCUGAUCCUGCUAAUUUUCCAUGGUAGCACCUCCAAGGGAAAUGCUGUCUUUUCUCAUAUUUUGGUGUGAUGUGUGCAAUUUCAACCAGAUUUCUUUGCCUUCAGACCUUUUUAAAAGGAGAUGUGACACUAAGAGGAUGGUAUCUUAAGCUGAGGAGCCUGUGCUGCAUAUAAGGCAACCUGGAGUUGUCUGAUCUUGUGUCAUUGUGACAUCCAAAAGUCCCAGUUUCCUGGGAGAUGGAAGCUUUAGCUAUAUUGUGAAAUGUCUCAGUACUGCAUUUCAAGUACUUGGGCCUGAAACUGGCUGCAGAAUAUAGGACAUUUCAAAACUGUUUCAAAUCAAACCCAUUAAAGAAUGAGAACCUUACUAAGUGUAAUCUGAGAUUCCUAACUGUGAUGUGUGCUACUGUCAUUUUUCCUAUAGGGUUGAUACCAGAUAACACAUCAUUGUUGCAUGUUAAUUAGGCUGAGAAUUGGAGGCUGCGAAGGCUACAAAGAGACACUGAUGUUAUUCCAAUGUACAGUAUACAUGUGCAAUGAUUAUUUGGGUUGUCCUAUAUCAUUCUCGUAAUAAAUGAUAGAAGUAGACUAUUUCUUGUCAUUUAUCUUGAGUGAAGGGUGACUGCUGUUCUGAUGUAAUAAUUUCUUUGUACUGUUAAUAAAUUAUUUAUUUCAGCAUGGCACUUGGCUGGUGAGAAAAGUCUUGAACAACGUGGCAUGAUUGUUGGAUGCAGAAUUGCUCAGGCAUGGUGAGGUGAAGACAUAGCUAUAUGUUCCAGGUGUAUUUACAAUUUCUAAAAAUUUACUUUAGAUACUGAGGCAGUUCGUGAACUUCAUUCACUAGUUUCUCAAAUCUUUCUAGUGUUCUGUGAAAGCACUCAGAAGGUAGGACAGAAGACAUACUUGAAACUAAUUUUCAACUCUGUAUGUGCUGAGUGAUUGAUGAGGCUUUUCCUUAGUGAGUUCAGUGAGCUGUGUCUCUUCUCUGUCCAGUUGCUAAUUUGGGUGAACUCUGGAGGACUGUAAUCAUGUUGAGGUUUGAAGUGCUCUUUCAAAUCUCGUUGAAAUUGGAUGGUGAUUGGGAAAGUUAUUGAAGAGAGAGCAUGACAGGUAAUUGGAUUUUAGAGGCUCUUUUUCUAGGAGGCCAGGAAGUGUAACUGAGAUAUAAUUCCACAUUACACCUUAAAAGUUAAUAACACACAUACAUAGUAAGCCUACAGAAUUAAGCAUUGUUGUAAAGUGUAGUAGCAGUGGAAUUUUCAUGGACACAUGUCAAGUAAGGUUAGUACAGAAAGCAUAGAUGUUGACUUGAUCAACAGGAGUAAUAACCAGCCUUGCUCCUACUUUGUUUUUCUUCUAACCAGGAAAGCAAGGUAAAUCUUUACCUUUCAGAUGUGCUCUGUUUUCCCUGUGAAGGUGGUUGUACUAUUAAAAUAAUCAUUACCAGCAGCUCUAAUAGCCUGCCUGGAUAGUGAUCUGGGCUGAAAGACUGAAUUUGAAAUGGUCGUCAAGACUCUGUUCUCUCCGUGUCUGAUAAGUUGUCAAGUGACAGCUGCUGUGGGCUCUCAAAGCCCAGCAGGAUUCUCUGUUGCUGGGGUUUCUACAGCAGGGCUGGUCCAAGCUGGGUACAGUUCAUAUUGCUGCAUAUAAAUAUGUCUGCCUCUCUCACAUCUGCCUUGUAUGUUUGGAGUCCAUCCAUUCUCAUACCUCAUGCUGUGUAAGAAAUAGUUCAGAGCUUCUAGAACUAUUAGUAUUCCUCAGUAAAUCCAACGACUUUCAUUCAAUCUGCUGAAGUUUUCUUCACUUCAGAGGGAAGAACUAUUGGUACCUUGUGUUUUGCUACUUGGCAAUUUGUUCAAGAUUUAGCUGUAACAGAGCUAGGUGGAUUUUCUAAGCCUUUUUCAGAUUUGCUUAUUAGGACAUUGUUUGGUCUAUACAAGAGGAAAACGCUACUGGAAUUAGUGACUGGGGCAUAUGCAUUUAACACAGUGCAGUUAGUAAGCAGUCUAGGCUUUUGGCAACAGUGCAUGUUCUGAAAUGGCUCAGCACACAACAGCAAGUGAGCAGGUUAGCACAUGAUAGGUCAGCCUUUUGGAUGGCAUCUAGGCACAGGAUUUUUUAUGUGCCAGAAGUGUAUGCCAGUUCACUGUAGAUCUUAUUUCAGAGGAUAGAGGAAAGACAGCUCUGAAGUCCUUGGCAGAGUAAAGAGCAGUAGAUGACUGGGUUUCCAUCUGGUUACUUGCAUGUUAGGCAAGGAGAGAUACUAUGGCAAACUGCCCCAACAGGCUGUGGUGCUAUCAACUAGUCCCAUUUGUGUAGUGAUUGGCACUGACCGUACAUGGAGUGCUACCCUGGCACUCCAGAGGCCUUCGUUUUGUAGCCUUUUGGCUGUGUUAAGAAAUGAUUGAGUCCAGAAAAUGUAGUACUCUGGAAUAUAGUACCUGUCUGCAUAGAACCUGUUGGAAAAAAAAAAAAGUGAAAUCCUUUUGCAGCAAUUUGUUAGCUUUUGCAGCCAUUCAUGAACCAUCUGAACAACUUCUUGAAAUACUGAUACUCACUGAAGAUCAUCAUGAAGAAGAAAUAAGACAUUACCUUUCAUAGCAGGCCUGGAAAUAUGCACCUAUGAUGCGUGUAACAGUAUGAUUAUAGAAGAGAAAUUUUUUUAAGGCAAUGACAGUGGUCACCCCUUGUGAACCAUGAUUCAGAUAUGGAUUAUCUGUGCAAAUACUGUCAGCACUGGAAUAGAUAUUGAAUGGUGUAAGCAGAAGGCUGCUGAAAACCUGCAGCUGUUUCUAAUGGUGAGGUCAGCCAGUCUGUAGAGAGGUUGAUAAUUUCUUGGAGGUACUAAAACUGGGUUCAGUGAAUGAGAUUCCUGUUAGCCCCAUAGUCCUUUUGGCUAAAAUGAACCUGACCUGGAGACCCAGCGAGUUGCAUUCCUUCCUAAAGCUUCUUUUCUAACAGACUUUAAAUUCCACUGAUGCUUUUGUAGAGAUUUAUAAUAGAAAUUUAGCACUAGUAAUGAGAGGAGUAUUUAAACUGAUAGGUAAUGGCAUUUUACUGUGGAAUUAAAAAUGCACACCAUAUUUAGAGGACUAGAAGUUUUUAGUUAUGAGAGUUGCUCUGUUCUGAUUUUUAUGCAGCAGGAUUCAUCUCCCUUGCAGCAUUCCUGUAUCAAAUGGGUGAAGCAACUGAAGUUCCUCCUUCAGGUCCCAAACCACAAAGUGGUACAAGGAGAGUCCUUGUAAUUCACCACUGCAUUGGCAGUUCUGAUUACCUCUGAUGAUACGUCAUGUUAAUACAAUAAACUAGAAGUGUUCUGUAAGCACUUACACAACAGUAGUAUCUUUCCUUACACCGUAGUAGUUUAAAGAUAAGGGAGGAAAAUUACUUUCGUCUAGCAGAUAGAGUUGAGAAAGUAGGAGACUCUUUGGUACAGAAAAGCAGGAGGAGUCCACAAUACACUCCUCUGUGGUGCUGCCAUUGAUUAAGGUGUGAAAACAGUUCUGAUUGUCCUGCAUUUUUGAACUCUGACAUGCACUUCUGUGGUGCCCAUCUUUCUGUUCAUAGCUCAGACAGUAGACGAAGAGGUGAAAUGGAAUGUAACUCAUUUUGUGAAGUAGACAUUUUGGCCUUUUUAACAUCUCUGUGAGCUCAGGGCAGUCUUUAGCUUCUACUGUUUGCAGUAUUCCUCAAGACAGCUGAAGUGUUUUCCUAACAAGAGCAUGGUAGGUGCUAAUUUCAGGUUGGACUGACCCUGGAGUAAACACAGUAGAGUUACACUUUGCACUGCAGAUAGGUCAUUUGCUUGUGUAGUAUCUGUGUGGAUCUGUGUUUCCCUCCCAGGUCACUCUUCAGAGUGAAGCUGAAUUUGGAGGACCAAUUUUGCAAGAGGACAGCUCAACCAGUUUGUGGGGAGAGAGCAGAGCCUGUUUUUGCCUCUUCUCUCCUUCACUCACUUCUUACUCCACUGAGUCUACCAGAAGGUUGCCCUUCUUUUUGACCAGCAUUUUGGUUACAGGCAACCAGGACAGCUGUGGGCUGGACUGACCAGUCUGACCAUUGCAGCUGGUUCCAAGUCCUUCACUUGUAAGCAAAGCUGAGCCCUCCUCUCUCUGUGUCAGAGGACAGCAAACACUUCAGGACUGGGGUUACAUUUUCUGUCUUGUUGAGGUCACAAAGAAAAGUAAUUUUUGGGGAAACCUAUAUCAAAUUUCUGUGGUACUAAAAGAGGUAAAGUUUUCCUCCCAUUCUUUCCUAUUUGAAGUUAAAGAAUAUUUUGCUAAGCAGAGAAGUAGUGCUAUUGUACUCUUACUUUUUUUUUUUUUUUCUUCUACACAUCUCAUCUUCUUGUUUUGGGCUUCCUGUACUUUAUAGAGAUGUUAUUUCUGUCCAUUCAUUAACUUGGUGAGGGCUCUUUUUGAAGUUCAUUUGAAGUGCUCCACAGGAAGGGUGUUGACAACUGUGGUUACCUGCCAAGCAAAAUAAUAAUUACAUGAUGCACCUGUCCUCUCCCUGCAUUGGGUAAGAAGGGAGAGGAACUCCCAUCACUGUGUGCUCAGCACUGCGCUUCUUUAUUCUGGAUAGAAUUUGGGUGGAAGAAGUAAUUUUGCAUCCCUGUAAAGAGAGUUGGGAUGGGAUAUGUGCAUAGGCCUUUGGGUUUUGAACAGGGAGUAUCAAAGAGAACCACUGCACAAGAAAACCAUUCACUGUGAUAGAAUACAAACCUAACAUCAAUUGAAGAACCACUUAGGAUUGCCCACUGUGCUUUCAUGAGUAUUCAAAUGCAGAUUGUUGCAGUUACUACAGGUGUACUGUUGGAGGCCAUCUGAAAACCAGAAUUGUCAUCUUAGUGUUCCUCUGGAAUAGUGUAUUGCACCGCUGGCAGGAAUUCAUGUCUGUAAACAUCAGUGAAUACGAACAUGAAGCCUUUUGGGAAGGCUUUCAAGUGGAAGAGCUAGUAGACUGCUUUGAAGUCAACACGAACUUCUGGGACAAAAAGAACCUGGAGGACCUGUGAUAGGGAGCAAGUGUUUUCAGAUACCUGAAUUAAAUCUCAGCAGUGCUUUUCUGCCACCUGCUGCAGAGCAGAAGAUUAUCAGACAUGUCAAUAGCACUGAAGCAAGUCUUUAAUAAGGAUAAGACUUUUCGUCCAAAACGCAAGUUUGAACCUGGAACCCAGAGGUUUGAGCUGCAUAAAAGAGCGCAGGCCACUCUGCACUCAGGUGUGGACUUGAAAGCAGCUGUACAGCUGCCCAGGGGAGAAGACCAAAAUGACUGGGUGGCUGUCCAUGUUGUUGACUUCUUCAACAGGAUCAACCUCAUUUAUGGAACUAUCUGUGAGUUCUGCACGGAGAGGACCUGCCCAGUGAUGUCUGGAGGCCCUAAGUAUGAGUACCGGUGGCAGGAUGACAUGAAAUACAAGAAGCCUACAGCGCUGCCAGCACCACAGUACAUGAAUCUCCUCAUGGACUGGAUUGAGAUGCAAAUCAACAACGAGGAUAUAUUUCCUACAAGUGUAGGUGUUCCCUUUCCAAAGAACUUCCUUCAGAUCUGCAAGAAGAUACUUUGCCGGCUUUUUCGGGUAUUUGUUCACGUCUACAUUCAUCAUUUUGACCGUAUCAUCCUCAUUGGGGCCGAGGCCCACGUCAAUACCUGCUACAAGCAUUUUUAUUACUUUGUGACAGAGCUCAACCUGAUAGACCGCAAAGAACUAGAGCCUUUGAUGGAGAACUUAAUACACCAUCUAAAUGUCUGGUAAGGAUGAGUAGGUGCCCUGUAAAAGAGAACUUCUUUGGCAGACCAGGGAUUCUGGAUUUGUUGUAGCUGUUGAUCUCUGAAGCUGUGUCACAAACAAGAUGAGAAGGAGAUGACAACCAGGUUGUGCCACUGAAGAGCCACUCACUGAAGAAAAUGUGUCCAGUUUCAUCCUUGCUGCAGAGUUCCAGAACAUGGCAGCCCUUGCAGAAUGAGUCUGCUUUCAACCCAAGAAAGCAGAAAAGAUGGGAACUGCAGUUACUUUCACAAAAGUUUUCCACUCCUGUCAGUGUUCCUAACCCAGAGUGUGCUGCUAGGAGCCUCAUCCGAGCAACGUGGAUUACUGAGGGAAAGAAGAAUCAGCUUCAUAUUAAUCCUAGCUCCUUCAUUAGGGAUAAGAACCUCUUCAGCCGCAAGUAAUGACUGACCAUGUUCCUGCUGCUAAAGCUCGCUGAAAUUCAGGUCCAUGGGCUGACCUCCAGAUCCACUGUAUUCAAAUGAAACUAUUACUAGCUGCAGUGUUGUUUUCUUUUUAUUUUGUUCCUGGGUUCAUGCUUUGUUUCCUAAAUGAAGUGGAAUAUCAAGUCAGUCUGGAGUUACAGAAGACUUGCAGCCCUGAACAUCUCCCAUCCAUCACCAGGCCGCUCAAGGCUUGGCCACUGUUCCCAAAUGCCAGAGAGCCUUGUGAUUCCAGGAACACAGCCCCGUCCUUUUGCUGAUUAUAGAAUCGUAGAAUUGGUUGUGUUGGAAGGAACCUUGAGAGGUCGUGUAGUCCUGUUCUCCUGCAGUGUACAGAAACAUCUGCAAGGACAUCAGGUUGCUUCGAGCCCAAUCUAGCCUGACCUUGCUGACGUGAUCAACAGCUUGUGCUUCACUGCAAUUCCUCAUGGGGUGACAGGGUCAGCCUCUGAUCUCAGCUACAUGGGCGGAAUCCAGACACAGCUCUUCAAUGUUGAUGUCCUGUCUUCAAAUUCUUACUUUGACUGACAGCAAAUCUGCUCAGUGUUUCUGUAUUACAUAAGAAAGCAACUAUAUUGUCAGCAGUUUCCUGAAAUACCCUACAAAGUGCACCAAUGCAUCAUGUAUCUUGAUGUCCUAUGAUCCCCUUAGAGGAAGGACAGCUUUCAUUCACCCAAAUGUUUAAUCUUUUCAGGGGAAAAGAAAUUUUUGGUAAUUGGGAGAAAGAUGUAGUAAAGAUGAAUAGUGUAACAAUCAGGCCAGGAGAGACUGAGCAGAGGACUCUUUUGCAUCUGAACUGUGUUCAGCAGUGUGGCCUUAUUUCUGCACUGGAGAAUAUUUCUCCCCAGUUCUCAGUCCAACUUAACUAACACAUUGGUGAACAGCCUGGAGGGAUGUAAGCACAGUAAAUCCAGUCUUCUGUGUCAGAUGUACCCCGAUGAAAGGCUUUCUUUAAAAAAAAAUGAAGCGAAAAGCAAUACUUACCAGUUCACAGGAGAGAUUUAGCUGAAUAAAUGGGGAUCAAGUGGAACACACCUAUGUAUUCUGUGCCUUCUGAUGAAUUUUGCACAUUUUUGUUAUUGUGAAAGAUUACUCUUUCCUUUUUAAGUGCUGAACCCUAUUGCUGCCUUCCCUGAAGUGAGUUAGGUAUGUUUACUUCUUCUGAAACAUUAUCAGAAGGAAAUCUCAUGGAGUAUGCAGUGAUUGGAACGUUAGAAAUAGAGGUCUAGCAGCAAUUAAGAAUGACCACAAUCCUUUUGUAGUUCGUGUUGUGGUAUAUUCUGAGCAGGUUUGCUCACUUGCUUGCUUGCUUAAAAUAGUGCUUAUAAAUGUUAGUGAUCCUGUUCUUGCUAGGCGAAAUGGCUUUUGUCUGUGAACAUUCAGCUUAGCUAAGUGGAGACUUUUUUGCGUCUUUAGAAUGACACAAGGAAUGUUAUCCUUUGCUUACAGGGAAGCAGGCUGAAGUGUCCUUCCUCUUUCAGUGGUCUUUUCAGUUAGGUUAAUUCUUCGUGGGCUGCACAACAUAACACUUUUGGGGUGCUGGCACUUGCGCAGGAUAUAAGCAUCUUGUGGAAUUCAUUGCUAUAGCUACUGCUGAGCUUAGCUGCUUCAUUUCAGAUGUGAUGAUAAAUGUUGUGUCCUUGGAAGAAGGCUGCAUGGGUAUGUGUGGAAUUACAGCCUUGAUUACAUCUGAAAGGGUUUCUUACACCUUUCUCCAUAGCCUGUAGGUCAUUGCCCUGUUGGAGCUGGAGCUGUCCUUGAUACAGUGUACUUGAACUUCACUGUUGCCAGUUCCCAUCUUCUGUCCCUAUGGCUGGGCAGUGCUGCAGUGCUAUGCAUUAAAGAUUAACAUAAAGGUCAAAGUGCCAUUGCAGAAAUUGAAGAACAGCAUUUUAUGCAUAAAAUAAUCUGUCCUUCAGUUUGUUAUGGUACUUACCAUAUGCUGUUUUGAGUCUAAUUACUGUAGCGAUGCCUGGAAAUGCAGCAGAAUGUGUUCCCAUUUACUUUGAAUCCUCUUGAAUAACCUUAUAAAUGCAUUAAUCUCAGCGUCUUUGCAGAAGUUCUUUGUUGGAGUGUGUUUAUUUUUCUAAAACCAUCUUUCACUUUCCUAAACUCUUGUGUUGGCCAUGGCCAAAAUCCUGAGGAGUCUAAUUCGAAAAGGCAUUCCAACCCAGGAGCUGAACCACCACACAAUGCACUUGGUUUGGUGGUUUGCUCUCAUGGGAAUAAGGUGGAGUUUUGCUCCAGCUUGUGUUUUCUCUGUGAGCACUGAGCUCUUUCUGUUGGCCCUACUGGUGUUGUGACAGGCACUGGCCCAAGUCCUGUACGUAGGUAGUAGGGCAAAGGCCUUCUGGCACCCUCUUUACUUUAUAUCUGUACCAGGCUGUGUGCGGUGUGAUGCCUGGGCAUCACAAAUCUCUUGAGCUGUGUUUGCAGUGGAGAACACCAGAAGUCAUAUUGAAACUUGCUAGAUGAUGAAAUAAACUUCCUCCAGAUGGCAGGGUUGGGCCCUUGGCCAAGUGUUCCCCAACAAGUACUGCUUUCACUGCAAAGGUAUUCUUCCCUGGCCUUGCCAUCCUGUGCCAUGGGCCAUUUCUCCAUUUCCCGUGCUUGGUAUUUGAUAUCUUGUUAUGAAUAAUGUCUGGAACAUGGCAUUAGUACAUAAAUGUGUCAGCUUACUCUUCCCCUGGAGGACAGAGGGGCAGCAGCCUGUUGGAUCCAGAUCUGAGGGAUUCCAGGUUUAUCAGCAAUCUGCUUGGGCCACAUCCAGAUGACUCUUGUUUUGGGUGUUGAUCACAGGUCCUGAUUUAUGUGAUUCCUCAGGAUAUGUCAAGAGAAAUGUGUUUUAAAUGUGAUGGUAUGCAAAGGCAUGCAUUUCACCUACUGAGAAAGUCUUUCUACUUGGCCUUACCAUUCUCCAGUGUGUGUCCUAGUAGCAUUUCAUGUGGUUCUGGAACUAUGUUUUGUUUUGCUUUAUUUCUUUUACUUGCUUUUCAAUGAGAUCUUUUUUUUUUUUUUUUUUUUUUCAUACCUAGGAAAAGUCCUGUGAGGCUGGCAGGUGUCUUAAGAGGUGUUGUUAGUGCUGAGCUUCAAGGCAAUCUAAGUGGGAUCACUUCAGUUGAUAGAGGCCCCAGCCAGCUUUACUUCAGGACUCCUGUGAUCCCAAAAUUGCCUUCAGUGAUUGAAGACUUAAUAGCUUUCAUUGAUUUGUCUCUGUCAUAAGGGAUUUUGUAAUGAACUUCUGCUUUGUGUGAACAUAGGUUAGUGCCGGACUGUAAUGACAAAUGUAAUAUGGAAAAGAUCUUAACCUCUCUUAGGUUUAGGUUUUUUCUAGGGACUAGAAAAGGAGGCUUUUUAGCAGCAGUGAAAUUGAUUAUUUCCUUUUGGAUUUGGAAGGUGAAAACUCGAGUUUUUCUGAGAACUCAAGCUCUAAGCAGCAAAACUCAUUAGCACACAAGGUGGUUAAUUCUGCUGACCAGUGCAUGUUAAGAACAGGGCAGGAGGACAGGUGAAAAAGAAUGUAAUUCAGACCUAUUUACACUUACUGAAGACCUGGAGAAGCCUAAGUGCUAAACACCAUCACAGCAAUCAUGCAUUUUCCGAGGGCUGUGUGGAGAGGACAUGGAGAGAAUGGUGCCCUUGAUGGCUGGUGAACAAGUAUCCAGACCACUAUUAGUGAUAGCCUCUCAGGUCUUCAUCGUUCCUAUGAAUUAGGAUUCCAGGUUGUUUCCAGCCAAAGGCAGCUGCCUCGCCACCAGAGAAAUAUAGAUCAUAGAAUGGCUUGGGUUGGAAGGGACCUCAAGGAUCAUCAAGCUCCAACCACCUUGCCUCAGGCAGAGCCACCAAACUCCACAUUUAAUACUAGACCAGGCUGCCCAGGGCCCCAUCCAGCCUGGCCUUAAACACCUCCAGGGACGGGGCAUCCACAACCUCUCUGGGCAGCCUGUUCCAGCACCUCACCACUUUCACAGUAAAGAACUUCCCUCUGACAUGCAACCUUAAUCUUCCCUCCCUCAGCUUAAAACCAUUUCCCUUUGUCCUGCCAUUAUCUACCCUUGUAAAGAGCUGACUCCCCUCCUGUUCAUAGGCUCCGUUUAGGUACUGAAAGGCUGCAAUGAGGUCACCCUUCAGCCUUCUUUUCUCCAGGCUGAGUAAGCCCAGCUCCCUCAGCCUGUCUUUGCAGGGGAGAUGUACGAGCCCUCUGAUCAUCUCUGUGGCCCUCCUCUGGACCCUCUCCAACAGAUCCCUUUCUUACAUUGGGGUCCCAGACCUGGACGCAGUACUCCAGAUGGGGCCUCACAAGGGCAGAGUAGAGAGGGACAAUCACCUCCCUGUCCCUGCUGGCCACCCCUAUGCUGAUGGAGCCCAGGAUGCCAUUUGCUUUCCGAGCUGCAAGAGCACACUGCUGGCUCAUGUAAAGUUUGUCAUUCACGAGGACCCCCAUGUUCUCCUCUACGGGGCUGCUCUCAAGGACUGCUCCUUCCAGUCUGUAUAAAUGCCUGGGAUUCCUCCAGUCCAAGUGCAAAACCUUGCACUUUGCUGUGUUGAACCUCAUUAGAUUCACCUGCGCCCAGCUUUUGAGUCUGGAGAUCGAGCUCCAAAAUACAGAACAAGGUCUUUAGCACCUUUAGACUUAGUUUGAACAAGUUAUAUGUCCUGGAGCCAUCCUGCAAGAGACUGUGCCUUUCUUUUGCUUUUUGUCUUUCCUACUUUUUUUUUUGUUUCCCUUCCAGGUACCUGCUGGCACUUCAAAGCAGGAUGCACUAUAUAUAAAAUAAGAAUAUACUUGCUAUUGUAUAACAUGUUUAAAUUGUUUGAGGAAGGGGAUAACACUAUGGGAUCGAAUAUAGACAAGUGGUCAGUGAUCAGACUUCACAUAUAUUGAAAGAUUUUAAAGGCAUUUUAAUAAUUAUACAGAGUUCUAAGGGCAAAGCCAGCCAAAUCAGUCAUAAAAACCUAGUAGUAAAACACAUUUAGAUCCAAAAUGAUCAGAAACGCUUUUUGAUGUAUUGUAUACUAAUGAGAGAAGCAGUGGUUUUCAGGAUUUAAUCAAGUAAGUUGGAGCUCUUAAAGGUGGUUGUUUCUUUUCUGUUUUAAUAAGUUUUCCUUCCUGUUGUAAAGAUAGAUAUAAUAUAGCAAAGAGAUACUACAGUAUACUUCCAGGAGAGAAAAACAAAAAAACCAACAAAAAAAUGAAUUGCUUUCUUUGAAUUUGUUGUGUGUUUGUGUGAAUGCUCACAUGUAUGUUUCGGUGGGUGUGCAGAUGUGCAUUCCCAGCGUGUAAAUAAGUACAGAUACACAUCCUGAGCUUUCCCAUUGAGUGUGUAUUUUCCUUUUGCUAUUUUAAGGGGAUAUUUCUAACAAACAAGUGCUUGAUUCCUUUUCCUCCUACCUGAAUCAGUGUUGUUUGGUUUCUUUUUUGAUGAUGUCAGAUGUGUCUUAGACUCUUUUUGUUCUGUUUGUUAUUAAAUGAGGUGCAACUGUAUGGGAAGAGAGACCAACACUAACUGUUGUAGUCAUUAAAAGACCACCACCAGAGAUUAUUUUUCACAGCGGUCCUAAGCAGAUGAAGCUGUAAAAUCUAAAUAUCAUGAAUAAAUGAAAUGUAGUCUUGA